CAGAGGAGGACAGUGAAGCCUUCCUAUGGGUGCACAUGUCAUCCACUAGCCACACCUCAGUGCUCUUUUGUUGCAUGAAAAAUUUGGUAACCUCAGGAAUACUUUUUAAAGUAUUAAUCAUUCCAAAACAGGAACAUUGUGCUGGGAGGAGAGAAAGCCUAAAGCCUAGGCCAGCCAAGAAAGAGACUGAACACUUGACAGGCCACCUUACAGAUGGGCGAUGGCAGGGCACAUUGGGGUCAGGCGGUCAGGCCCCUUCAGCCCGGCAGAUGGCGGUGCCAUGCUGUAGAGCUUGCAGGCCACUCCAGGUUCCUUUGCGACCACUGAGCCACUGAGCCACUGAGCAGAGAAAACACAAAUUUAUGUCAAUGACAAUUUCUGUAGAAGUGAAGGCCUCUCCAUCUUGGGCAUUAUG